UACAGAGGGUGCGAGCGUUGCUCGGAAUCACUGGGCGUAAAGGAUGCGUAGGCGGGUCUUUAAGUCAGGGGUGAAAUCCUGGAGCUCAACUCCAGAACUGCCUUUGAUACUGAAGAUCUUGAGUUCGGGAGAGGUGAGUGGAACUGCGAGUGUAGAGGUGAAAUUCGUAGAUAUUCGCAAGAACACCAGUGGCGAAGGCGGCUCACUGGCCCGAUACUGACGCUGAGGCACGAAAGCGUGGGGAGCAAACAGG
rnacentral:rRNA from 1 species